UACGUAGGGAGCGAGCGUUGUCCGGAAUUACUGGGCGUAAAGGGAGCGUAGGCGGACUUUUAAGUGAGAUGUGAAAUACCCGGGCUCAACUUGGGUGCUGCAUUUCAAACUGGAAGUCUAGAGUGCUGUAGAGGCAAGUGGAAUUCCCAGUGUAGCGGUGAAAUGCGUAGAUAUUGGGAAGAACACCGGUGGCGAAGGCGACUUGCUGGGCAGCAACUGACGCUGAGGCGCGAAAGCCAGGGGAGCAAACGGGAUUAGAUACCCCCGUAGUCCCU
rnacentral:rRNA from 1 species